GUUGUCUUGGCUAAGUGGUUAAGGCGAUGGCCUUGAAAUCCAUUGGGGUUACACUGCGCAGGUUCAAAUCCUGCUGAUAAUG